rnacentral:rRNA from 1 species
GUCCACGCCGUAAACGAUGGGCACUAGGUGUAGGAGGUAUUGACCCCUUCUGUGCCGAAGCUAACGCAUUAAGUGCCCCGCCUGGGGAGUACGGCCGCAAGGCUAAAACUCAAAGGAAUUGACGGGGCCCGCACAAGCGGUGGAGCAUGUGGUUCAAUUCGACGCAACGCGAAGAACCUUACCUGGGUUUGACAUCCGCUGACAAUCCUGGAAACAGGACUUUCCCCGCAAGGGGACAGCGAGACAGGUGCUGCAUGGCUGUCGU